rnacentral:rRNA from 1 species
UACGAAGGGGGCUAGCGUUACUCGGAUUCACUGGGCGUAAAGGGCGCGUAGGCGGCUUGUACAGUCAGACGUGAAAUUCCUGGGCUCAACCUGGGGGCUGCGUUUGAUACGUGCGGGCUUGAGUUCGGAAGAGGGUCGUGGAAUUCCCAGUGUAGAGGUGAAAUGUGUAGAGAUCGGGAGGAACACCGGUGGCGAAGGCGGGUCUCUGGGCAAUUCCUGACACUGAGGCGCGAAAGCGUGGGGAGCAAACGGG